ACUUAGCGGCGGACGGGUGAGUAACACGUAGGCAACCUGCCCUCAAGACUGGGAUAACUACCGGAAACGGUAGCUAAUACCGGAUAAUUUCUUUCCUCUCCUGAAGAGAGAAUGAAAGGCGGAGCAAUCUGCCGCUUGGGGAUGGGCCUGCGGCGCAUUAGCUAGUUGGUGGGGUAACGGCCCACCAAGGCGACGAUGCGUAGCCGACCUGAGAGGGUGAACGGCCACACUGGGACUGAGACACGGCCCAGACUCCUACGGGAGGCAGCAGUAGGGAAUCUUCCGCAAUGGGCGAAAGCCUGACGGAGCAACGCCGCGUGAGUGAUGAAGGUUUUCGGAUCGUAAAGCUCUGUUGCCAGGGAAGAACGUCCGGUAGAGUAACUGCUACCGGAGUGACGGUACCUGAGAAGAAAGCCCCGGCUAACUA
rnacentral:rRNA from 1 species